AUUGAACGCUGGCGGCAGGCCUAACACAUGCAAGUCGAGCGAGCGGCGGACGGGUGAGUAAUGUAUGGGGACUGCCCGAUAGAGGGGGAUAACUACUGGAAACGGUAGCUAAUACCGCAUACUAUCGGAUAACCCAUAUGGGAUUAGCGAGUAGGUGAGGUAAUGGCUCACCUAGGCGACGAUCCCUAGCUGGUCUGAGGGGAUGAUCAGCCACACGUGGACUGAGACACGGCCCAUACUCCUACGGAGGCAGCAGGGGGGAAUGUUGAACAAUGGGCGCAAGCCUGAUGCAGCAAUGCCGCGUGGAUGAAGAAGGCCCGAGGGUUGUAAAGUACUUUCAGUCGGGAGGCGUUACCGGCAGAAGAAGCACCGGCUAACUCCGUGCCAGCAGCCGCGGUAAUAC
rnacentral:rRNA from 1 species